CCUACGGGGAGCAGCAGUGGGGGAUAUUGCACAAUGGGGGGAACCCUGAUGCAGCGACGCCGCGUGGGUGAAGGAGCGUUUCGGCGCGUAAAGCCCUAUCGGCAGGGAAGAAGGAGGACGGUACCUGACUAAGAAGCCCCGGCUAACGACGUGCCAGCAGCCGCGGUAAUACGUAGGGGGCAAGCGUUAUCCGGAUUUACUGGGUGUAAAGGGGGCGCAGACGGCAGCGCAAGCCAGGAGUGAAAGGGGGGGGCUCAACCCCCGGACUGCUCGGGAAACUGUACGGCUGGAGGGCAGGAGAGGUGAGUGGAAUGCCUGGUGUAGCGGUGAAAUGCGUAGAUAUUAGGAGGAACACCAGUGGCGAAGGCGGCUUACUGGACUGUAACUGACGUUGAGGCUCGAAAGCGUGGGGAGCAAACAGGAUUAGAUACCCUUGUAGUC
rnacentral:rRNA from 1 species